rnacentral:rRNA from 1 species
GACGAACGCUGGCGGCGUGCUUAACACAUGCAAGUCGAACGGAAAGGCCCUGCUUUUGUGGGGUGCUCGAGUGGCGAACGGGUGAGUAACGCGUGAGUAACCUGCCCUUGACUUUGGGAUAACUUCAGGAAACUGGGGCUAAUACCGGAUAGGAGCUCCUGCUGCAUGGUGGGGGUUGGAAAGUUUCGGCGGUUGGGGAUGGACUCGCGGCUUAUCAGCUUGUUGGUGGGGUAGUGGCUUACCAAGGCUUUGACGGGUAGCCGGCCUGAGAGGGUGGCCGGCCACAUUGGGACUGAGAUACGGCCCAGACUCCUACGGGAGGCAGCAGUGGGGAAUAUUGCACAAUGGGCGGAAGCCUGAUGCAGCAACGCCGCGUGCGGGAUGACGGCCUUCGGGUUGUAAACCGCUUUCGCCUGUGACGAAGCGUGAGUGACGGUAAUGGGUAAAGAAGCACCGGCUAACUACGUG